rnacentral:rRNA from 1 species
UAUUGCGCAAUGGGCGAAAGCCUGACGCAGCGACGCCGCGUGAGGGAUGAAGGUCUUCGGAUCGUAAACCUCGGUCAGCAGGGAAGAACGGUCACGGUGCUAAUCAGCAGUGAAUUGACGGUACCUGCAAAGGAAGCACCGGCUCACUCCGUCACAGCAGCCGCGGUAAUACGGGGGGUGCGAGCGUUAAACGGAAUUACUGGGCUUAAAGCGCUCGUAGGCGGUAUGUCAAGUCAAGGGUGAAAUCCCCGCGCUCAACGUGGGAACUGCCUUUGAAACUGGCAAACUGGAGUGUGUGAGAGGAUAGUGGAAUUCCAGGUGUAGGAGUGAAAUCCGUAGAUAUCUGGAGGAACAUCAGUGGCGAAGGCGACUAUCUGGCACAUAACUGACGCUGAGGAGCGAAAGCGUGGGUAGCAAACAGG